AUUGAACGCUGGCGGAAUGCUUUACACAUGCAAGUCGAACGGCAGCACGGGGGCAACCCUGGUGGCGAGUGGCGAACGGGUGAGUAAUACAUCGGAACGUGCCCGGUCGUGGGGGAUAACGUAGCGAAAGUUACGCUAAUACCGCAUACGAUCUGAGGAUGAAAGCGGGGGACCUUCGGGCCUCGCGCGAUCGGAGCGGCCGAUGUCAGAUUAGGUAGUUGGUGGGGUAAAGGCCUACCAAGCCGACGAUCUGUAGCUGGUCUGAGAGGACGACCAGCCACACUGGGACUGAGACGCGGCCCAGACUCCUACGGGAGGCAGCAGUGGGGAAUUUUGGACAAUGGGCGCAAGCCUGAUCCAGCCAUUCCGCGUGCAGGACGAAGGCCUUCGGGUUGUAAACUGCUUUUGUAUGGAACGAAAGGGCUCUGGCUAAUACCUGGGGCUCAUGACGGUACCGUAAGAAUAAGCACCGGCUAACUACGUG
rnacentral:rRNA from 1 species